rnacentral:rRNA from 1 species
UAGGGAAUCUUCCGCAAUGGGCGAAAGCCUGACGGAGCAACGCCGCGUGAGUGAUGAAGGUCUUCGGAUCGUAAAACUCUGUUAUUAGGGAAGAACAAAUGUGUAAGUAACUAUGCACGUCUUGACGGUACCUAAUCAGAAAGCCACGGCUAACUACGUGCCAGCAGCCGCGGUAAUACGUAGGUGGCAAGCGUUAUCCGGAAUUAUUGGGCGUAAAGCGCGCGUAGGCGGUUUUUUAAGUCUGAUGUGAAAGCCCACGGCUCAACCGUGGAGGAUCAUUGGAAACUGGAAAGCUUGAGUGCAGAAGAGGAAAGUGGAAUUCCGUGUGUAGCGGUGAAAUGCGCAGAGAUAUGGAGGAACACCAGUGGCGAAGGCGACUUUCUGGUCUGUAACUGACGCUGAUGUGCGAAAGCGUGGGGAUCAAACAGG